AUUGAACGCUGGCGGCAGGCCUAACACAUGCAAGUCGAGCGGGGUUUUCGGACCUAGCGGCGGACGGGUGAGUAAUGCGUAGGAAGCUACCCGAUAGAGGGGGAUACCAGUUGGAAACGGCUGUUAAUACCGCAUAAUGUCUACGGACCAAAGUGUGGGACCUUCGGGCCACAUGCUAUCGGAUGCGCCUACGUGGGAUUAGCUAGUUGGUGAGGUAAUGGCUCACCAAGGCGACGAUCCCUAGCUGGUUUGAGAGGAUGAUCAGCCACUCUGGAACUGAGAAACGGUCCAGACUCCUACGGGAGGCAGCAGUGGGGAAUAUUGGACAAUGGGCGCAAGCCUGAUCCAGCCAUGCCGCGUGUGUGAAGAAGGCCUUCGGGUUGUAAAGCACUUUCAGUAGGGAGGAAGCGUUGUGUGUUAAUAGUACACAGCGUUGACGUUACCUACAGAAGAAGCACCGGCUAACUCUGUGCCAGCCGCCGCCGUAAGAC
rnacentral:rRNA from 1 species